GCCAUAUUACGUAGAAAUACCGGUUCUCGUCCGAUUACCAUAGUUAAGCAAAACCAAGACCGGUCAGUACAUAGAUGGGUGACCGUUUGGGAGUAUCAAGUGCUGUAA